UCGAAUGGCCCUGACACUAGGCCAAGCCAGUCAUCUGUACUUAUGAAUGGUGGAAAUGGAGCACUUAUGGAUAGAUCAAGCAUGAACAGUACCCAAAGCUCAGGCUUGCCUAAUGGCCGGCUGAGCUCAAAUGCUGUUGGGAAACAUGGCAGGAUGACCAAUGCUGCUGCAUUUACCUCCAGAAGAUAGAGAGAGCAGGGAAUCGCGCCACCUUAUGUCUGGAAUUUGUGGACCAGAGCGUGGACGGAAGAUUAUUUUGGGACGGCAACAGGAUACGCGGGAGAAUACAUAUUCAUCAUAGAUUGAAUCAGACCAUCAAUCUUUGCAGCUCACUUCAUGGAAUUUUCUGACUGGAAAUGUUUGCCCUUUUUUCGGUUUCUUGUUUUUUCGGUUCUUCAAAAGCUUUAGGUUGUGACUGUUUGAUGAUAAUACUGAAAAGAGUCAAAAGACUGCAAACUCAAAAUGUCUCUGCAGUGCAGGUGAUGAUGAUAUUCAUGCACAAAAUUGCUUCUGUGCGCAUCUGGAUGAAAAGUCUGCCCGUUUUGUUGUUGGAUGAAAUGAUGGAUCCUUUAAACAUUUUUAUUAAACAUUAAUUUAUUUCUCUUUCCUUAUUUUUACUUUAUUGGGCUGAGAAAAACCUAACUGGGUUUCUAUGUGUUGGAAGCCCAGCCCACUUUGUUUCGUUUGUGCUUCUUGCUAUACCGCAGUUUGUCCGCCUCUUGCACUCCAGUUUGAAUUUUCCGUCAGGUAGAUUCUAAAUCAUAAUUUUCUUUUAGCAUAAAAAUAUUAAUGUCAUAUUUAUUGGAACAAGUUAGUUGCAAAUAUCGACUGGGCCAGAAUUUUUGAUGUUAUGGUAUUUAGUAUUUACACUUGGGGUUGGGGGACAAUUUGAUUUCGAAUUUACUAUUUAUGAGAUUUGAGUUUAAGAUCUCUUACUUACGUAGUGAGGAUAAAUACAGUUAUAUUGUAGUACUAAGUAGCCAAAUGGGGGCAUGUUCGUAAAAUGAUUUUUGAGGAAUUGUUUUGUAAACAAAAAAUAGAAUUUUGCAUUUUUAUGAUUUGAGAAUGAUUGGUAAUUUAAUUUUAUGCAAAACGAAAAACUGUUUUGAAAAACGUUAAUGAACAAACCCUAAUGUUUUAUACACUCAAGUUCAAAUUCUCUGUUUUGUGUCCAAAUAUGCCCAAACUAAAUUUCGAAGAAAACAUUCAAAAUUUGGAAAAUCAUGCUACUUCAAAACGGUUCGUUUUAUGCUACAAGGUGGGUAGGUUGGAACGGCGUCGCUUUAGUCGAGGGCUAAAUAUUGUCGAUCGGAAAUCAAUUUUGAAAAGCGAAAGGAAGAAGGAAAGGGGAAGGAGAAGAAGAAAGAUGGGUUACGUUCUGAGAGUGAGAAUGGCGUCGUUUUUCGGCGGAGCUGCGGUGGCGUCGUUUCUGGGUCUCUACAUCCUCCACAACGAUUACAAGGUCGCCCACCACUCUAUUUCUCAACAGGUGAAAGGCCUCAUGAAUCAUUGGAUAGAAGAAUUUCAGCUCUUGAAAGUUUAAAGCCAACGGAAGCUCCACAACCUGCAGAAGCAUCCGAGUAGAUGCCUUGAGAAUGCUACCUGCAACUCUCUUGUGACUCCAAACAUCUUUUUUGUUUCUUCGAAUUAUGCGGGUGGUUUCUCUGUCGUUUCUCCACCCUUACAAAGAAUAAUAAUGACAUAACUGACUUCUACUGUUACUACAGGAAUCGAGUAGUUUGUAUUUUUAUCAGAUGAAAACUGUCAGUAGCUCUGAGAGAUACUAUGCAUCGACGAGAGGUUAUUUUACUUUCGGAUAUAAAUUUGUUUCAUCGAGUA